rnacentral:rRNA from 1 species
UACGAAGGGGGCGAGCGUUGUUCGGAAUCACUGGGCGUAAAGGGUGCGUAGGCGGGGCUUUAAGUCAGGGGUGAAAUCCUGGAGCUCAACUCCAGAACUGCCUUUGAUACUGAAGAUCUUGAGUUCGGGAGAGGUGAGUGGAACUGCGAGUGUAGAGGUGAAAUUCGUAGAUAUUCGCAAGAACACCAGUGGCGAAGGCGGCUCACUGGCCCGAUACUGACGCUGAGGCACGAAAGCGUGGGGAGCAAACAGG